GACGUAGGGCGCGAGCGUUUGUCCGGAUUUAUUGGGCGUAAAGAGCUCGUAGGCGGCUUGUCGCGUCGACUGUGAAAUCCCGCGGCUCAACUGCGGGUCUGCAGUCGAUACAGGCAGGCUAGAGUUCGGUAGGGGAGACUGGAAUUCCUGGUGUAGCGGUGAAAUGCGCAGAUAUCAGGAGGAACACCAACGGCGAAGGCAGCUCGCUGGGACGGUACUGACACUGAGGCGCGAAAGCGUGGGGGAGCGAACAGG
rnacentral:rRNA from 1 species